GGUUGAUAUUCCUGUACCAGUUGUUUUUGUUUGAGCAAUGGAGGGACGCAGUAGGCUAAGGAAUGCAUGCGAUUGGAAGUGCAUGUCCAAGCAAUGAGUCUUGAGUAGAGUUAAAUGCUUUACUCUUUAAGGACAAGUUGUGACGGGGAGCGAAAUAAUAGUAGCGAAGUUCCUGAUGUCACACUGCCAAGAAAAGCUUCUAGUGAGAAAACAACUGCCCGUACCGUAAACCGACACAGGUAGUCGAGGAGAGUAUCCUAAGGUGAGCGAGCGAACUCUCGUUAAGGAACUCGGCAAAAUGACCCCGUAACUUCGGGAGAAGGGGUGCUGACUUCGGUCAGCCGCAGUGAAUAGGCCCAAGCGACUGUUUAUCAAAAACACAGGUCUCUGCAAAAUCGUAAGAUGAAGUAUAGGCUGACGCCUGCCCGGUGCUGGAAGGUUAAGAGGAUGGGUUAGCUUCGGCGAAGCUCAGAAUUGAAGCCCCAGUAAACGGCGGCCGUAACUAUAACGGUCCUAAGGUAGCGAAAUUCCUUGUCGGGUAAGUUCCGACCCGCACGAAAGGCGUAACGAUUUGGGCACUGUCUCAACGAGAGACUCGGUGAAAUUUUAGUACCUGUGAAGAUGCAGGUUACCCGCGAC
rnacentral:rRNA from 1 species